rnacentral:lncRNA from 1 species
GGAUGGAAGGGUGGCCGUGGGCCAGCUGUGUGCCCCUGCAGCAGAGGCCAACAGCUGCCAGGGCUGCGCCAGGCAGAGCAUUGCCAGCAGGCUGAGGAUGAGGAAGGUGAUCCUGCCCUUCAGCUAAGCACUGGUGAGACUUGUCUGAACUGCUGGGUCCCCAGUACAAGAGAGAUUUGGACAUUAUGGAGCUGGUCCAGUGAAGGGCCAUUAAGAUGUCUAAGGGACUCAAGUAGUGACACACAAGAUGAGCCUGUGAGAGCUGUGGCUCAGCCUGGAGGUGGAGCCUUAUUCAUGUGUAUGAAUACCUGAGGGAGGGGAUGUAAAGAAAAUGGGGCUGGAGUUUCCUUUAGAAGCUGCCCAGAGAGGUUGUGAGGUCUCAGUCUCUGGUAGAGGAUCAUCAUCACAUGACCCCGAUUUGGGCAGGGGACUGACUAGCUGAUCUCCAGGGGUGCUUGUCAGCCUCAGCUAUCAUGUGAUUUGAUGCCUCCAGGAGUCAUCUAUAGAAAGCAUGACCUGGCACUUACCUCCUGCCUACUGAAGAUAUUGUCCAACCAUUCUUUGUGUUAAAAUUGGAAAUGACUGUUUCACUCAUGGACUGCCUGUAUAAUAGCGAGAAUCAAAGUGGAAAUACCUCAUGUUUGAAUACCUUUUAUGACUCUGUAUGGUGAGAGUUCUCCCUUCUCAGAAGGAUCUGAAGUUUGGGUGUCUUGACAACUUUCUGUAUAUAUCUCCUGAGUUGACAGCUUUGGGUGAUUUGAAUGCUGGGGCAAGAAUCCAAAUGGCAAGCACCAGGGGAGCCUGAGUUAGUGAACUACCUUGUCAUGGGCAUUCCUACCAGCCCAGGUCUUGGCUGUGCAUCUGAGAAUUGGGCAGCUCCACCUGAGGCUCUGCGAGCUCCAUCCUUGCCUGGACACAGACAGCCAAGACCCACUCUGAGCCAGAACUUGCAAGCUUCUCACUUUUUGGACUCCCUGGGUGUCCAGGCUCAGGGUUUGCUGCCUGGCAUCCCUCUUGUCCCACAGGCUGGGGCUGCUGCCAGUGCUGCUCACUCACAGCACAGUGACCCUGCCUCCGAGCAGAAGUCCCAGAUGCCCAGAGCCCGUGGCAGACCCGGCUGUCUGGGCUGGCCCAGCACCACAGACCCAGAGAGAAGGGCCCUGCUUUUGCAUAGACUGCCCAGAAUCCAGGCAGGGGGUUGCUUGUUUAAUUUGGUGAAAGCUUGA